UAUUUUGUCUGAUGAAGGUCAUCAUUCAUUCAAAAUCUAUGGAUUUCCAUCGAGGUCGGUACGAGAGCUGUAAACGAGAGUGGAGUGUGCAGAUUCGGCAUCACACAAUGGCGAGGUGAAUAAAACAAAAAUGCGGUUUUUAAUCUCGUCCGUAGCAGCUACAUCGUAGCGUCGCUACGCGCUACGCGGCUACGAGGCAGGGCAGCUCAACCGAGAUCAAAGUCGGCUAAGCAGCCAGGCCUGCGCUGGUAACGGCCUAUCCGUCAUAACGCGCAAUCCCAGUAACACCGUGUUCCGUUCCUUGCGACGAUCGCAUCAGCAGUAAACGCGGCCCGAUUAAGCCCACGAUAUCGGAACGAAAUAGGCUAAGGAGGUUGCUCGUGACCGCCUCCCGCCGCCUACUGACCGCCGACU